AACGAACGUUAGCGGCGCGCCUAACACAUGCAAGUCGAGCGAGAAAGGGCUUCGGCCCCGGUAAAGCGGCGCACGGGUGAGUAACACGUGGAUAACCUACCCCUUGGUGGUGGAUAACCUUCCGAAAGGAGGGCUAAUACAGCGUAAGACCACGACUUCGAAAGAGGUUGGGGUAAAAGUGGGCCUCUGUACACAAGCUCACGCCAGGGGGAUGGGUCCGCGGCCCAUCAGCUAGUUGGUAGGGUAACGCCUACCAAGGCGAAGACGGGUAGCUGGUCUGAGAGGAUGAUCAGCCACACUGGAACUGAGACACGGUCCAGACUCCUACGGGAGGCAGCAGUGGGGAAUCUUGCGCAAUGGACGAAAGUCUGACGCAGCGACGCCGCGUGGGGGAUGAAGGUCUUCGGAUUGUAAACCCCCUUUCGGGAGGGAAGAUGGAGUGGGUAACCACUUGGACGGUACCUCCAGAAGCAGCCACGGCUAACUUCGUGCCAGCAGCCGCGGU
rnacentral:rRNA from 1 species